AAGGCAACCGAAAUUUUUUGUGGCCAGCUGACAAUUUGGCGACCAAACAUGUGUUUGGUCGCCAUUUUUUGAAAUGGUGCGCACAGGAAAAUGAAAAAUUAGGGGCAACGAAAAUAUUUGGUCGCCAAAUUUGCCAGAAUGGUCUCGAAAAGAAAACUCGCGCCUAAAUAUUUCAUGGGGUUUGCGACUAAUAUAUUUUCGUCGCCAAUAAGAGGUUUUACGAAUUGAAAUUUUAAAAACUACGUCGUUUUUACUGACCUUGCUGUUUGGCCACCAAACGUUUUUGUGGCUGAUUCUUGAGACUUAAAUUUUAGAACCCUCUUCUCUCUGCCCAAUUCACUUCUCUAUACCUCCUCUCUGCAUCGCGCACACCAUCGUUACUCCGGCGUCGACAGAACAAUUGUCCACCGACGACGACUAGUCAUAUAGAAACUCUCUUCCCCUAUGAUUUCUCUUGGCAUGAGUUACUUAUUUCCCCCUCUCUCUGCCCCUAAUUUUCUAGAAUCUUCUCAGCCACUUACUUCUUCUGCUGCCUCUCUUCAGGUUUCAGUUUGAAAUACUUGCUUAAGAGGCUAUAUUCUGUCAAGAGAGGCAGAUGACGAAUGAGUUUGAGAAGCUGAAGCAACAAUUGGUAGAGUAUGAAUUCAUGUCACGGUACAUAUCCCACAAGCUUGGUCUCUAGUCUUCAUGUGGAGAAAAUGAAUGCAUGACUUGGGGUUACAAAGGGAAAGAAAAUUCGGAGCCUGGUCUCUAGUUUUUUUUUAAUUUUUUGGUGAACCUGGACUCUAGUCUUUGAGUGUUCUUCAUUCAUUUAUGCUUCUAGUUUUUGGAUAUAGGGUACGAAAUUUAUGUGUACUUAAAUGACUAGUAUGCUUGUGUGCCUCAGAAUGUUUACAACUUUAUUUAUAUUAUUUUCAAUUGAUUUUGCUUCCCUAAA